CUUCCCUGGAGUGCAGUUUAGAAGGAUUUCUAAAAGGUGUUCUGAAUUGAGUGAUGGGUGAUGGUGAUGUUGGUUGCAGAACUGGCUCGGGUGUGAGUUCAUGCAGAAGCACUAGGGAAAGUCACAUAUACAUGGGGAAGGGAGUCAUGAUGUACUAGUCCGGCCUUGGAAUGAUGUUUUCAUUCUUUCUCAUUGAUCCUGGCAGAAUGGGUGGUGUUUAAAAGUGCUCUUGGCGUUUUUCUAGCAGUUUCCUUUAUUUAUACAGUGUGGUCUCCUGUUGCCUUUGGCUUCGCUGAGCUCUUCGGUACCACUUUUUUGGAUUUGGUAGCCUUAGUUGUGGUUUUUGGGGCCCUUGGUCCCUACGACUGCCUGGGCCUGCUUAACUGUAGGAACCCCUUGCACCCUGAGAAGGGGAGCAUGGCCGCGGUGAUAUGAAAGUUGUGGUCUUUGGAAACGCCAGGCACUGCAGCCCUCUUCUUGGGUUGUCAGGGGCUUGUAAAUCACGACAACAUACGAGGGACCGGGAUUUACAGGGAGGAGCUUCCAGGCCAUUGGUGCCUCGUGGUGGCCGCAGUGAUGGGAGACAGCGACAGCUCCUCUCUCCUCUCCUCUGAACAGCAGAGGGAGAUAACGUGGGAGUGCCUGGCUGAAAUCUGGCUUGGAAACAAGAUGAGAGUCGCCGGUCUGUUUCUAAGCGUGACCUGAUUGAGGAUAGGAGAGAAAUACUGUUCCAACUUUCUUGGUAGCUUCAAAGCUGAGAGAGCAGUGGACCAUCCUACAUGACAAAAUACUUCUCUCAGGAGCCCGUGAUCAUUACACGCCUCCCCUGCCGUUGUCCGUUGUGUCCUAGAAAGCGAUGCAUGGCUGCGCGGUACAGAAACGGCCUCGCCACUGUAACGAGGCACACGCAAACAUCCUUUCCUCUCCAGGAGGCACCUCUGUGUAUCACAUCUUUGAGAGGGAUGGACUGUGACUGGACAGGAGCCUCGGUGAUCCAUGCUGGUGUCCCACUUCCACCUGGAGGACUGCAGCUCUUAAGUGUCCCUGCUCUGGCCUUGAGCGCGCUGUUGCAGGUCCAGCCUCGAGGCAGACGCACUGCCAGGAAGGAAUCCUGCCGUGCCCUGGGGCAGACAGACCCACAGGGGCAGUCAGUCCCUGGCCCAGGGUCAUCACAUUAGUCCAGGUGAAUAAGAAUGAAAAUUGGGACCGAGAUGACCAAACUUCAGAGAGUCUGGCAGUAAUUUAGGUGCAUAUUGAGGUGCCAAAGGUGUGAUUCUCCUUUAUUGUGUGGGGAUAAGCACUGCCCAUGCUGACAAGCCUGUCUUAGGUAUCUUGGAUCGUGGGCUGUGCAGGGAUUGACAGCUUGGAGUCUCCAUGUCAGUAGGCCGCACAAAGCCUUAAUUUUGCUUGUGAUGCAACUUUGAAAAAUAUUCUCUUUUCCUCUUCGUGGAAUUAGACAACUUCUGUAAUGCCUAGUCAUGUUGAUCAUCACUCUUGGCAACAAUCCAUCUCUAUUUUUAGCUGGGCUGUACAUUUCAUAUGACAGUGUCUGGGAUGCUCAUCUCCCUAGGGAGAUGAUGAAAAAAAAUAUUCCUUUCCCUCAUAAAUAUUUAAUCUAAAUAAAGUAGCACUAUCAUAAGCUUUUGCUUUAGGAGAUGAACCAAAUCUAUCUCCAAUUUUCACUAUUUCCAUCAGGAUGCUUUUAGCUGAUUUUAAAAAUAUACCACUGAGACUUUCGAAAUUAAUAUUCAUUCUCCUAAGGAUGUGAAAUUACAUGUGCUGGCAGAUCCACUGAGAGAUCAGUAACUCCUUCAGCUCAGCUAACAGCUUUCUUGAAAAGGAAAGCAGAUCAUUAAAGAGAAAACAAAUUUGAAAAUCACAUUAUUUCAACAGCCUCCUCCAGGCUGUCUUUUGGGAAGGACAGGAGUGUUGAGAAGAAUGUCAGGGUGAGAGAUUGAAAGCAGAUACAGAGGGGAAGAGAAGUGCUAAAAUCUGCUGACCCUCCUAGAGUGAGCAAAGAAGUGGAGUCAUUCUCUCACUCAUUCCUGCCAUCACGCAACCCGUUCCUGCCCUGCAGUGUGCCCUGACUACCUGCCCACACCACAGACAUAGCUCAGGGCCUCUCCAGCUGAUGCUGCCUGAUCAGGAAAAGCCUUUGCCCUUGCUCUUCUCCUAUCGUCUUACUUAACAGAAAAAUACAGAUGGAUAGAUAGAUGGAUAAUUUGUAGUCCCUAUACUCACUUGUUGGUUUUGAUUAAAAAAAUAAUCCAUGUAGAUGAACCACUAGGAGCAAAGGAUGAACAUUGGCCAUUAAACAUGAAACUGGCCAUAAAAUAAAAGAUAUCAUGUAGGAAAUUCAGUGUUAUUUCAGAAUUCAGUGAAUUCAGAUUGUUAGAACUCCUUUUUUUCUUUGCCAUAACAUUUAAAGGCUUGAGUUCCUGUAAACGGGUUGUUUGGUCUUCCUUUUGGUUUAAUUUUGUCUAUCUUUAGAAGUGUCCUAAUACUUCAGUAAUAUACACACUGUUACUUUAUACCCACAGAUGUUAGAAAAGUAACACACAAUAAAAGUAUGAUAAAAUUAGAACAAGAAUAUUAGCUACUUGGUGUGGAAAAGAUAAAUUUGGGUAAGCAUUACUUCAAAAACCAUGGAAUACAGAAUAUUUCCACAAAUGAGAGGAAAUAAAGAAUAUUUCCUCAAGCACACUGUAAUGCAUGAAUCUAUUCUAUGAACUUGUAUAUUGCUGUCAUAUCUACAAUGAUUCUAUGUAAAAUUUACCACAAUAAAAUUUUACUCUAAAUAAUCUG